UUCUUGUGUCACUGUAAUUUAUUUUUCAAGAUACUGUGAAAAUUAUAUUUGACAGUUUGACCAGAUGUGUCUUUAUCUACAUGUAUCAGCCUACCACCAUCAGCCCAAAGCCAUUAUACUGCGUAAGGGAAAAAAGCCUAACUUCUUGCUUGGCCUACAAAGCCCUUUAUGAUCUCACCUCUGCCUACCCGUCAUACCUCAUCUCCUGCUCCCCUUACCCCCACCACAUUCUAGCACCCUGGCCUCCUGUCUCUCCCUUGGUUUCCAGUAGAAUGAAAAUCACCAUGAAAAUGGUCAUAUUUUCUCUCUUAUAGACUCUUGUAUCCUGGCUCCCUAGAAUACCUGGCACACCAAAUAUUUUCAAGUGUAUGAAGUAGAUGAUUAUCAAUAUGCUUGUGUGAUGACUGUUUUCCACUGUCCUCCAUCCAAAUUCAUUCUCUAUUCUUCCUUCCCUUGCUGGACAUCUCAGGAGUUUUAGCAGUAGAGCUAUACUUCCAUGGGCAAAGUUCCUUCCUGCUUAUCAAGUUUCUAGCUCUUUACCAGCCCUCGUACUAGUUCCUGAUGCUCUGAGACUGGAUAGUCCCACAAUGGCUCUAGACUGUCUACAGAGUGGAGAGCCAGAGAAAACAGUAGCUACUCAAUCCAAGAAGCAGAACAGAAGGACAAAUGAUACAGCUCCAAUCUGAGGCUAAAGGCCUGAAAAGCCCCUUGAAGAAAAUCUAGGUUCAUGGGGUGAAAGAUCUGAAGUAUGAUAUUUGUAGGCAACAGUAGCAGAAAAAAACAAUACAUCCAUUGAAGAAAAGUUGAACAGGCUUCCUGUGACUGAUCUGGCUGAUUGUCUUAUCAGUUCAUGACAUUCUCAAGCCUGUGUUAGCAGUUUCAGAGGAACAAAAGUGGAAGUCUCUCAGAAGAUUUAUCUUCAGUUAAAAGAAAGGAAAGGAUAAAAGCCCAGGAAUAAUAAUAUCCUUACCUGCUAAAUCACCAAGCAAAAUCUUACUCAAUAAUUUCUUACUGGGAAUGUCUAUGAUCCCCGCAGUUUGAAGGACACGUUGGGGUGGGCCACCAAGAACCCAUCUUCCAUGAUAAGAAGGAAAAAAUAAUAACUAUAGCACAGAAUAUUAGGUAUAGUGACAGCACAGAAGGAAAGAAUGACUAAAUCUCUUUGGAAGUCAGAGGAAGCUUUGCAGCAUAGGUGAUAUUUGAGCUGGAUUUUGAAGGAUGAAUAAACUCUUAUUUAUAUCCUACUCAUUCCAAAAGGAUUUAAAGUGCCUUGCAGGAUCUGACUAGACAGUGGGGGAGUUGAAUAACCUUUCAGGCACAGAAAGUGCCAAAGAACAGAAUUGUGAAAGGGCACAAUGUGCUUGGGAAGUAGGAUAUUCUGGGGGAAGCAAGGCAGACAGUAUCAUUUAUCUGUACUGUCCUCUAGCACUGGUUUUCAAACUUGAGUGUGCCUCAGAAUCCCCCAGAGAGCUUUGAAAAGUACAGUUCACUUGGCCAUAUCCCCAGAGAUUUUGAUUCUGAAAGUCUAAGUUUGAUUCUGCUAGAGGUGGACAGGCAAGAAUUUACCUUCCUCACAAAUUCCCUGGUGAUAUUGGUAUAGCUGGUCUUGGAAUCAUACUUUAAGAACCACUUUUAGAUUUCUGGAUUUUGUUCCAUGGUCAGUUAGAAGACCUGGAAUUUUUAUAGUUUGAGAAAGAAAUAAAUAUAUUUGGAUUUAGAAAGCUUACAAAAAGAAGCUUUGAGGAGCAUUGGGGAUUGAAACAAGUUGGUAGAUUAUUUCACAUGUCCAAGAAACAGAGUAAAUGAGCCUGAACUCAUUUGUGCAAAAAUAAAACAGACUUGAAAAUUUCUAAAGCAUCAAGAUUACUUAGAAUUACUGGCAAUGGAGAACAAGUGAAGGGGAAGACAUUUGGCAUGUUAAAAUUAUGUCCAGGGAUGGGGUUGUACCUCAGAGGUAGAGUGCUUGCCUAUCAUAUGCAAAGCCCUGGGU